CGAUACUCCGUAGAUUUUUUGCCCGAUUUCGGAAAUAUUUAAUAUUUUACGGUGUUCUUAGUCGUACUCGCGGUUUCUUUUGCCAUUCAAAGGGCACGAUUCUAUCGUCUUGAAAACGUAUUAUCUAGCGAAAUUGUGCCGUCGGUUUUAGUAUUAUAAAGAAUUGCCCCGUUAUCAAACUUAAAGAUGUAUUUGUGUAAUUUUUAAGAUACGAGUACGUGAAAUAUCACAAUAGUAUAACAAUGCUUUAAUCUCGCUUGGAAAUACAAAUAUCGGACAAACCAUGCUAACACUGCACGGAUAAUAUUUUUAUCUUUAAGUUUGGUGAUACGAGAGUAGGCGAAUUCACUCUGAUAUUAAAACAAACAUAAAUGGCCCAAAGUCGUCCCAGCUGAACGAAAAUUUACUGUGGCGCACGUCCUUUUAAAUAUCUUUCAUUGUAUAGCAAUAAUAACAAUAAUAAUAACAAUCAUCGUUUUCAUGACUCGGAGCACGUCAAAUCAGAUCGCAUCUUCUAAUUUUAAUCGUACCGAACAUCUUUCCGGUUUCAUUUAAUUCACCGUUUGUUCUUCGUUCUGUCCAACUUCGUAUUUUUCGUAUUCGAUUAUCCUGCGGCGAUUAUUAUUACAAUAAGACGCCUCUUGUCGGGAAUACGUUCGUCCUAUUUGGGACACGAUUGAUAGUCGAAACGGUUACUACGAUAUUACAUGAUUACGGAUAUGGCAUUCGAUAUCAGUCGAAUCACGAGUAUAUAUUGACGAUAUAUACAUUGUAUUAUGCGUUUAUCAUGUUAGGAGUUCUCAAUUGGCUUCUUCGUCGUUUACCACACCCCGUGCGUCAACCGCACAUUUUCCUAACUCUGUUCAUAUUUCGCAGGGUUUUUCGACAAGUGCGGGUUUUCGACUCCAGCCAUUAUUUCGUCCUGAAAAUCAUUCCGGCAGUCUAUAUAUUAGCGAUUUGUGCGACUUUGGUCGUGUUCACUUUCCCGUAUCCUAUGAUUUCUCUGCUGCAGCGUUCCCGUAAACGCGAAUUCUCAACGUCGGGACGAGGAGUGAGAGGGAGAUCACAGAAUACUCGUAUCGAUUUCACAACUAUAUUAUGUCACAAUACUAUUACAUAUUAUUGUAUAUGUAGCGUUAUAUUAUUGAUCCUAUUCUAUUAAAACGCGUAUAUAUAAAUUUUUUUUUAAUCUAUUAUCGUCGCCGUCACAGCUAAAACACGGUAAACAUAUCGCGUCAAUUGUUUUCGCGGGGGAUAAAAAAAAUAUCGCGUAAUCCUGCCGCUAUAACGAUAAUAUGACGUUUCCCGAGAUAUAUAUAUAUACGUAUUAUACGUAUAAAAUACACGACGUAUAUAUACGUAAUUAUGUUCUACGAUGCGGAUACGCCCAUUAUAAUCGCGAAAAUGCCUAGGUUUUGCCCCGAUGUCGAUC